rnacentral:tRNA from 1 species
GCCGUGGUAGCUCAACCUGGGAGAGCAUCCGGCUGAAGACCGGAUGGUUGCCGGUUCAAAUCCGGCUCACGGCA